UACAGAGGGUGCGAGCGUUGUCCGGAAUCACUGGGCGUAAAGGGCGCGUGGGCGGCCUGAUAAGUCGGGGGUGAAAUCCUGUGGCUUAACCACAGGGCUGCCUCCGAGACUGUCGGGCUCGAGCACAGUAGAGGCAGGUGGAAUUCCCGGUGUAGCGGUGGAAUGCGUAGAGAUCGGGAAGAACAUCGGUGGCGAAGGCGGCCUGCUGGGCUGUUGCUGACGCUGAGGCGCGACAGCGUGGGGAGCAAACAGG
rnacentral:rRNA from 1 species